GGAGAGAUGCCCGAGUGGCCGAAGGGGGCGGUUUGCUAAACCGUUAUAGGUGUAACAGCCUAUCGGGGGUUCGAAUCCCCCUCUCUCCGCCA
rnacentral:tRNA from 1 species